GACGAACGCUGGCGGCGUGCUUAACACAUGCAAGUCGAACGGAAAGGCCCUGCUUUUGUGGGGUGCUCGAAUGGCGAACGGGUGAGUAACACGUGAGUAACCUGCCCUUGACUUUGGGAUAACUUCAGGAAACUGGGGCUAAUACCGGAUAGGAGCUCCUGCUGCAUGGUGGGGGUUGGAAAAUUUCGGCGGUUGGGGAUGGACUCGCGGCUUAUCAGCUUGUUGGUGGGGUAGUGGCUUACCAAGGCUUUGACGGGUAGCCGGCCUGAGAGGGUGACCGGCCACAUUGGGACUGAGAUACGGCCCAGACUCCUACGGGAGGCAGCAGUGGGGAAUAUUGCACAAUGGGCGGAAGCCUGAUGCAGCAACGCCGCGUGCGGGAUGACGGCCUUCGUGUUGUAAACCGCUUUCGCCUGUGACGAAGCGUGAGUGACGGUAAUGGGUAAAGAAGCACCGGCUAACUACGUG
rnacentral:rRNA from 1 species